rnacentral:rRNA from 1 species
GUUGACCUCGGAUCAGGUAGGAAUACCCGCUGAACUUAAGCAUAUCAAUAAGCGGG